ACACAUGCAGUCGAGCGGGGUUUUCGGACUUAGCGGCGGACGGGUGAGUAAUGCGUAGGAAGCUGCCCGAUAGAGGGGGAUACCAGUUGGAAACGACUGUUAAUACCGCAUAAUGUCUACGGACCAAAGUGUGGGACCUUCGGGCCACAUGCUAUCGGAUGCGCCUACGUGGGAUUAGCUAGUUGGUGAGGUAAUGGCUCACCAAGGCGGCGAUCUCUAGCUGGUUUGAGAGGAUGAUCAGCCACACUGGAACUGAGACACGGUCCAGACUCCUACGGGAGGCAGCAGUGGGGAAUAUUGGACAAUGGGCGCAAGCCUGAUCCAGCCAUGCCGCGUGUGUGAAGAAGGCCUUCGGGUUGUAAAGCACUUUCAGCGAGGAGGAAGGGAUGUAUGUUAAUAGCAUGCAUUUUUGACGUUACUCGCAGAAGAAGCACCGGCUAACUCUGUGCCAGCAGCCGCGGUAAUACAGAGGGUGCAAGCGUUAAUCGGAAUUACUGGGCGUAAAGCGCACGUAGGCGGCUAGUUAAGUUGGAUGUGAAAGCCCCGGGCUCAACCUGGGAAUUGCAUUCAAAACUGGCUAACUAGAGUAUGUGAGAGGGGGGUAGAAUUCCAGGUGUAGCGGUGAAAUGCGUAGAGAUCUGGAGGAAUACCGAUGGCGAACGCAGCCAUCUGGCCUAAUACUGACACUGAGGUGCGAAAGCAUGGGGAGCAAACAGGAUUAGAUACCCUGGUAGUCCAUGCCGUAAACGAUGUCUACUA
rnacentral:rRNA from 1 species